AGAUUGAACGCUGGCGGCAUGCUUUACACAUGCAAGUCGAACGGCAGCGCGGGGCAACCUGGCGGCGAGUGGCGAACGGGUGAGUAAUAUAUCGGAACGUACCCAAGAGUGGGGGAUAACGUAGCGAAAGUUACGCUAAUACCGCAUACGAUCUAAGGAUGAAAGCAGGGGGACCGCAAGGCCUUGUGCUCCUGGAGCGGCCGAUAUCUGAUUAGCUAGUUGGUAGGUAAAGGCUACCAAGGCUACGAUCAGUAGCUGGUCUGAGAGGACAACCAGCCACACUGGAACUGAGACACGGUCCAGACUCCUACGGGAGGCAGCAGUGGGGAAUUUUGGACAAUGGGCGCAAGCCUGAUCCAGCAAUGCCGCGUGAGUGAAGAAGGCCUUGGUUAGUAAGCUCUUUGUCAGGAAGAAACGGUGGGAGCUAAUAUCUCCCACUAAUGUACGGUACCUAGAAGAAUAAGACACCGGACUAACCUACGUGACCAG
rnacentral:rRNA from 1 species